GAAAUCAGAAUCCAGAUGUCAACAGACUUGGUUCUUUCUAACGGCUGCGAGUGAGAGUUUGUUCCAUGACUCCUGCCCAGCUUCUGCCAAUUUGGCGACAGCCUUGGAAUUCGCUGGCAUGGAGAAGCAUCACCCCAGUUUCUGCCUUCAUCUUCACAUGAACCUGAGAAGUCCAAGAUCAAGGUGCUGCAGAUCUGGUGUUUGAGGAAAGUCAUCUUCCUGGUUUGCAGCCUCACAGUACAUAAAGGUAUUGAGAUCUGCAGCAAAGACUCAGUUUCACUUGAACUCAAUGUUUUCCAGCACAAUGGCAUGAAA